AUUGAACGCUGGCGGCAUGCCUUACACAUGCAAGUCGAACGGUAACGCGGGGCAACCUGGCGACGAGUGGCGAACGGGUGAGUAAUGCAUCGGAACGUGCCCAGUAGUGGGGGAUAGCCCGGCGAAAGCCGGAUUAAUACCGCACACGACCUACGGGUGAAAGCGGGGGACCGUAAGGCCUCGCGCUAUUGGAGCGGCCGAUGUCAGAUUAGGUUGUUGGUGGGGUAAAAGCCUACCAAGCCGACGAUCUGUAGCUGGUCUGAGAGGACGACCAGCCACACUGGGACUGAGACAGGGCCCAGACUCCUACGGGAGGCAGCAGUGGGGAAUUUUGGACAAGGGGGGCAACCCUGAUCCAGCCAUGCCGCGUGCGGGAAGAAGGCCUUCGGGUUGUAAACCGCUUUUGUCAGGGAAGAAACGCUCUGGGCUAAUACCCCGGGGUAAUGACGGUACCUGAAGAAUAAGCACCGACUAACUACGUGCCAGCAGCCGCCGUAACAC
rnacentral:rRNA from 1 species